UACUGUAGAUUCAUUAUUAUUCGUUGGAUACCAAUUUUCGUGCAUUUCGUGGGUACAGGUAAACCACGAAAUUCAAUGUUCAACGAAUGAUGAAUUUCCUAAGGUUUUAUAUACAGACUUCAGCAAAACCACUAAAUUAAAUAUCCACGAAUAUGCAAGUUUUCCUUAAUCCACGAAAAUCGGUACCCACGAAAAUUAAUGAAUCCACA
rnacentral:lncRNA from 1 species